rnacentral:rRNA from 1 species
UACGUAGGGGGCAAGCGUUGUCCGGAUUUACUGGGCGUAAAGAGCGCGCAGGCGGUCGUUCAAGUCGCGUGUGAAAGCCCCCGGCUCAACUGGGGAGGGUCACGCGAUACUGAUCGACUCGAAGGCAGGAGAGGGUAGUGGAAUUCCCGGUGUAGUGGUGAAAUGCGCAGAUAUCAGGAAGAACACCCGUGGCGAAAGCGGCUCUCUGGAACGGUACUGACGCUGAGACGCGAAAGCGUGGGGAGCGAACAGG